UGGAAAUAAUAUUUUGUGUGUACCAAAAGGGGCUAUGGACUAGUGCUAUGUCACAUAAUCAUGACAAUGAGUAUAUGAAGUGUAUUAAAAAUGAUUACUACUCAAGUGAAUUGAGGUCAAAAAAUUAAUUACGAGGGUCGUUCAUUAUAUUAGGAUGGUGGAUAUUUAUUAAUAAUGAGAUUAAGUCCCAUUUUGGGGGUGGCUUAAUAUUAGCCACGUGUAACUUUCUAGUCACAAGUUAUGAGAUAAGAAUAGAAGGGGACAAACACACUUAGUGGAUGAAUGAGGUGGAGGCACAUCUUGUCCCUAUAUAGAAUAAAGAAUACAAUUCAUUUUGCUUUCCUUAGUUAAAAGGCAUUAAAAACGUAGCCGCUAGGUAGAAUUGCUUCUAGAUUCAUUUUUAUUAUUAGCCAAAGAGGUAGCUUUGAUAAGAAAGAAAACUUGAUCUCUUGCUUGAUAUUUCAGCAGCACAAUCACGUUUGGGGCUUUGACAAUAAGGAAAAAUCAAGCACAAGCUCGGUCUAUUUUGAGAAGCAAGGACGGAACAAUGUAUUGUUGCUCCAGAUUUAUUGUGCAACGUGAGGGGAUUGGGGAAAUAAAGCUACGGUUAUGUGGUCCAAAUGGAAUGAAAAUAAAAGUGUUUUUUUUUACAUCUAUGUUGAGGAUUAAUCAUAUUGUGCAAGAAUUUCAAGAAUCAUCAAGGGAUUCUAAGCAUUUCGGAGAUUUCUUCAAAGUAAAGUAAGGUGGAAGAAGAGUAGUUCUUUGCAUAUAAGAUCUUGGGAAGCCCGAGACUUAGGUUUGGAUUAGCUUAAGAAGCGGACAAGGUAUGUUAAGGCUAUUCCCUUUUCUUCGUUUGGCAUGAUCUUUGCGAUAUGAACGAACGACAAACAUAUAAACCCCAAAAGUGACUUCCACUCUUAGACACGUUAGGGGAAUUAUGACUUGACCCCAGAUGCUACCUUGUUAUAUAUUGUUUAUGUCUAUGAUUCCGACAGCUUUACUUAUUGAACAUUACUGCUUCAUAAUGACACUUGAAAUCCUUAUGUCCUUACAUCUUAUCAAAAGGUUCCAUAAUGAUUCUAUGAGUCUCGUAUGCAUUAUAUAUAUAUAUAUAUAUAUAUAUAUAUAUAUUCAUUAUGUUACUGACACCGAACCGCGCUAUAGUCUGUCGGGUACGACACGUAGAUGUGCAACCACUGAUCAGUUGGCUAUUCACACUGAGUCCUAAUACAGGCCGGGUACGUUAUACACACCAAGUCCCGCUAGGGCCGGGUACGUUAUAUAGAUAUGAUGGCGAUAAAGGCCUAUGGAUACUUAUGCAUUGAUAAAUGGUUUUACAUGAAAGCAUGUAUAAUUCUUGCCUUUGGAGCUAUUUACAUUUCUAGUCAUUGCCUUCGGGGCUACUUACAUUGUUAUUCUCUGCCUUCGGGGCUAUUCAUAUUACAGGUUGUUUCUCGUACUUUCAUUAUGACUUAUAUCUCAUUCUUUAUGAUUACUGCUGCCUUACAUACUCGGUACAUUGUUCGUACUGACGUCCCUUUGCCUGGGGGCGCUGUGUUUCAUGCCACACAACCCCAUAUUGCUUUGCAGGAAAGUUUUACAGGAGUUUGACUAUAGGAUGUCCAAGGCGAUCAGCUGGAUUGGUAAACUCCAUUCUGUUUGGAGUGAUGCCGCGUCGGAGUAUUUCCUUAUGAGUUGAAUCAUAUGCAUUAUGGGUAUGUUGGGGCCCUGUCCCAACUUAGGUUUUGAUAUCAUAUCUUACGUUAGAGACUUUUGCAGACAGAGUCAUGUAUACAGUAUGUCAGUCUUGUAAGCGGCUAUGUAAGCCGAUGUAUCAUUAUGCAUUACUUUACAGAUUUCAUAUGAUUACAGAUUUUACUUGAUUUGAGAAAGACGAAAAGAAUGUUUUUGAAAAGCUUUCAUUAUGCAUUUCAUUUCGUGAUUUAA